CGCCAUCCCCAAUGUGAGCAAGCUGGCUAGGGUUCACCGCCCCCCUUUGCUGAUCGAAUUGAUUUACACUAGUUACAGCAGCAGCAAGUCGAUCUACUCCCCCUUUGCUGAAUGUUGAUGGAAUCGAAUGGCGCCAUCAGGUGGAGGAGGAGGAGCUCUGUUGCGGGGGUUUUCUACCCUGGUUGCGAAGCAAGGCGGGAGCCGGCACCUCGUCGGUGCUGCGGAUCGGGACCUUGCCCUUGGGAAGGUCAUUGUUCCCUUCGCGGCCGAUACAGUAGUGGGACUGCAUAUUGCAAGUGCCUCAAAAUGCUUAUGCGCAGCAACUCAAAGUCUGUUUGUGGCUGUUUGGCGAUCUGGUUACCCCGGCGGACCUCACUGUGUUCUAAGCGUCAACCUUGUGCACACAAGAACAUGAGGGUACCCUGCUCCAGCGUCCAGAGAUAAUUCAGAGUUAAUUUUGUAGCUAUUCCAAGCUGCGACCUUGUGCAACCUUGUGGGAACAAGCACCUGUUCUAAGCUGUGACCUUAUUUGUGAGGCUGCUACCAAUUUCAGAUUUACUUCUAUAGCAUUUUGUUUAGAAAGUAUUUUCAUUUAGAUUUUACUACAACCGUCCAUAUCAUGUGCAUAAUAUUUUUGUCAUAGAUAGUUAAUUGAGUUCUUCCAGUGGACAAAGCACCCUUGCUGUUGAACGCUGCAUAAUUUGUUUGUUUUCACCAGGGUAUCCUCUAGGAGGAGAUUCAGAAAGAUUUAGAAAUUUUCGAUCUUUGGAAGUGAUAUGAAUGGCUACAUUUUAAAAAUUUAAUCAUAUGAACAUAUAUAGUAGAUGAUAUAAUUUGAUCCAGAGUAGCAAUAGCUUGGAAGCUUAGAACGGUUCUUGAGAAAAAAGCUAUACUCAGAUAGAUAUGCAUGAGCAGUACAAUAGCUAACCCACUAGCAGCGCCUCAGACAUGUGGGUCUUAUCUGUGAUUCCCCUUCUUGCAGCCUUUGUUUGUUCUGAAAGAUUUCUUCAUGUAUCAUAAUAAUAGAAAGGGAUUUUCUGCGGGACAGACCAACUGACUAAUGGUUGUUUGCUUUGUAGGAAUUGGGAUGGGUGCUGUAUGUUAGAUCCCUUGCAUGCAAGGAUCAGAUGCAUAACAUAGUAUGAACAUGCUGUAGAAAUGUUACGGAGGGACAUGCAUUUUCAUCUUCUAAUAUGCACUGCUGGCAUAUAAGUUCUGUUUGUUUCACACCCACAUAGUGACAUAAAAGCUUCCAUGGUUAAUUUUCUGAACCAUUAUUUGGGCCUUGGGCUUGGUAAAUUGGAAAGCCGUUGUGAACCAGCAACCUACAUGUAGCCUGUAGCGAAGCCAUCAGAGGAAUUAGCGCCUCAAAAAAAUCAUAGGAACUAACGGAGAAGGCUUCAGCGGUUGGUGUGUGGCUGCGUGCGGGCCUGCGGCAACCCUGGCAACGAGGAUGCUAAUGCGAGGGCGCGAGGUACGAUUGCCGCCGGCGGACAGAGAUUGGCAUCCGGCGUCGUUGGCGUCCUGCAUCGUCCUAUGUUCUGCAGGGAACAUGUCUGAUACGGUGAAUUGGUGAUAACUUGGAGAUUUCAUUUGAAUCAGGGACUGAGGCAACCAAAUAAGUGGAAUAAAAAGUUAGACGUUGUGGCAGCCAGUGAGGGGUGAUCGACGCUGACUAGCGCAGCCGGUGGGUGCUGUGCUCUUCAACCACUCAGAGGCGGACUUCUCCGUGAAGCUGGUGGCCAUGUCGCGUAGUUGAUUGUCCAGGUGAUUUCGAUGCCGGAGGUCGCCGAGGUAGAGGACCUCGACGCCACCGUCCGGGGGGAGGGAGGAUUCGGGUCCACCGGCGUCUAAGCUCCGAGCCUUGGUAGAUACAUCUAGGGAAGUUGUCUGUUUAGGUUGGUGAUGGAACACCAGGGAAGGUACCCACCUUUCGAUGAUCAUUGUGUGUGUCUGAUGUUAAAUGGAAUCUUGAGAAUGUUAUGUGACGUUGGUUUGGUUUGCA